CUCUGUGACUUCUACGGGAGGCAGCAGUGAGGAAUAUUGGGUCAAUGGAGGGAACUCUGAACCAGCCAGUCCCGCGUGUAGGAAGACGGCCUUAUGGGUUGUAAACUACUUUUAUACAGGAAGAAACGUACCCUCGUGAGGGUGCCUGACGGUACUGUAGGAAUAAGCACCGGCUAACUCCGUGCCAGCAGCCGCGGUAAUACGGAGGGUGCGAGCGUUAUCCGGAUUUAUUGGGUUUAAAGGGUCCGUAGGCGGAUUAAUAAGUCAGUGGUGAAAUCCCAUCGCUUAACGAUGGAACUGCCAUUGAUACUGUUAGUCUUGAAUGAGGGUGCAGUGGUUGGAAUGUGUAGUGUAGCGGUGAAAUGCAUAGAUAUUACACAGAACACCGAUUGCGAAGGCAGAUCACUAACCCUAAAUUGACGCUGAGGGACGAAAGCGUGGGGAGCGAACAGGAUUAGAUACCCUGGUAG
rnacentral:rRNA from 1 species